rnacentral:rRNA from 1 species
UACGAAGGGGGCUAGCGUUGCUCGGAAUCACUGGGCGUAAAGGGUGCGUAGGCGGGUCUUUAAGUCAGGGGUGAAAUCCUGGAGCUCAACUCCAGAACUGCCUUUGAUACUGAGGAUCUUGAGUUCGGGAGAGGUGAGUGGAACUGCGAGUGUAGAGGUGAAAUUCGUAGAUAUUGGGAAGAACACCGGUGGCGAAGGCGGCUCACUGGCUCGUAUCUGACGCUCAGGCGCGAUAGCGUGGGGAUCAAACAGG